AUACCAUCUAUAGAGUUGGUAUUUCCCGGACCUAUAAAGCGGUGGUCACGGACCUUGGGAACUAUUUUGGCAGAUAUCCAUGGAGAGAGAAGACCUGUUCCAGAGAUCCAUGGGAGGAAGACACCUGAACCAGAUAAGUAGUUGCAAUACACACACACACACACACACACACACACACACACACACACACACACACACACACACACACUGUAUGUUUGCAGCCACAUGGGGAAAAAACUUGCAUUUUCUAAUUCUUGGCAUUCCCGUUGGAGUACCCAUGGGCUCAGACAUACACUCUUCAACCAUACAUCCAUACACAAGUUCCUUUACCCCACCACUCACACACCAUCUAUAUUCUAUGUCCCUGCAUCACAGACGGUGUGCAGCUGUUGGUCUGGAACUCGCCGAUGGACGUCGAGCUGACUCAACGUGGCGGUGAGAGGACGGAGGAGUGCGUCGAGACUCCGCGGGACAAAGGUGCAGACCAAGGAGGUGGAGUAGCAGCCAUCUUUGACUGGAGCCUUUUAAUAAAUCCUAAACCUUAUUUGUCUCACACCCAACCUGGGAACCAGUUUUGUAGCUCAGGCCCACGUGUUACUCUUUUCUCAGGCUGUUGGAGUGAAAUACAGAGAUGGACAAAAAUACCUGUUUGGAGGGCCAAGUUACCUACACAUGGUUUUUGGAAUGUGCUUCCAAGAAGUUCAGCAUCCUAGAUGUGCCUCGCACAAGGUCCAAAUGGUAAGUUUGUUAGUGUCAUUAAUUGUUUUCUUUUUGUUGCAGGUCAUCCAGUUUGAUCCUACCACCUCAUGAGACCAGGAAAGCUAUCUGCCAGUGAAGUUCAUCAAGAUGGGGACCAGCAUC